rnacentral:rRNA from 1 species
GAUGAACGCUAGCUACAGGCUUAACACAUGCAAGUCGAGGGGAAACGAUAUUGGAAGCUUGCUUCCGAUAGGCGUCGACCGGCGCACGGGUGAGUAACGCGUAUCCAACCUGCCCAUCACUUGGGGAUAACCUUGCGAAAGUAAGACUAAUACCCAAUGAUAUCUCUAGAAGACAUCUGAAAGGGAUUAAAGAUUUAUCGGUGAUGGAUGGGGAUGCGUCUGAUUAGCUUGUUGGCGGGGUAACGGCCCACCAAGGCGACGAUCAGUAGGGGUUCUGAGAGGAAGGUCCCCCACAUUGGAACUGAGACACGGUCCAAACUCCUACGGGAGGCAGCAGUGAGGAAUAUUGGUCAAUGGACGAGAGUCUGAACCAGCCAAGUAGCGUGCAGGAUGACGGCCCUAUGGGUUGUAAACUGCUUUUAUAAGGGAAUAAAGUGAGCCUCGUGAGGCUUUUUGCAUGUACCUUAUGAAUAAGGACCGGCUAAUUCCGUGCCAGCCGCCGCGGUAA